rnacentral:rRNA from 1 species
CUAUGCUUAGCCCUAAACAUAAAUUACUCAUAAACACAAAUAUUCGCCAGAGUACUACAAGCCAUAGCUCAAAACUCAAAGGACUUGGCGGUGCUUCACAUCCCUCUAGAGGAGCCUGUUCUAUAAUCGAUAAACCCCGAUCAACCUCACCACUCCUUGUUCAUCACAGCCUAUAUACCGCCAUCUU